rnacentral:lncRNA from 1 species
GUCACACAGCACCUACAUGUAGAAACUGGAGUUCAGAGCAAGUCUCUUAUGCCAGGGCCCAUUCUUUAAACCAGUAAGGAGAGCUCCUUAGACUUGGUCAGUUUUGUAAAGCAGCUGAUUCCAAUUCAGUGCCAUAAAGAACUUGCUGGUAGUUAGAGAACUUGCUGGUAGGAGAGAAUAGAAGCACCGUCCCAGGUUUCAGUCCAUGUGAGCUCCUUGUGGGUGUUGCUAAAUUAGCUGAACCUGUUGAGCCAUCUCUAACAUUCCCUCCUCUUUGUGUUUCUGUGUCUUCUGAUCCAAUAGGUAAGUGUCUUAAGAGACAGAUACUCAAAAAAUCUUAUAAUGAGGACUCAGUAAGAUUCCUCUUCCAAGGGCUGGAGAUGCAGCUCAGCGGCAGUGUUUGCCCAGCAUGAAGGAGGUUCUGGGUUCCACCCCCAACACUCCCCACAAGAAAGAAUUAUUUUCCAAUGCAAAUGGAAUCCCCAAACUAUUUUAUGUGGGUCUAUGUUUUGUAGGGAUAAAUUAACCCUAUCAUUGUGUUUUUCAAACUCUUCUCCAAUGACUCGCUGACUAAAUAUAGCAUUAGAAGGUAUGAAUACUAUUGUCCCUACAUACCCCUGUCCCAGAGUGACCAGGGUUAAAUGUCCUUGCUCACAUAUUCCCUCAAAAUAUUCACUGAACACUAACAAUGCAGGUAGCACUCGAGGCACUGUGGCAAAGUAGGAACAUUUAGCCAUUUCCUGGGUUUGGCUAACUGUUCAUCAAAACAACAGACUUCUUAGGUAUCCAGAUAUAAAGUUACUUUUUAAUUUUUAAAAUUCAAAAAAAUCUAUUUUCAUUUUUUAAAAAAUCAUAUUGUAGAAAUGAGUAAAUUACAUAAAUAGCCCACCUCAUUUCCAGAGGUUUCAUCACCAAUGCAUGGGUGAAUAGUUUCACUCCACCUAGAGCCUUCUGCUAAGCAGCCUUUUGCUAAGCAUAUUGUGGCCAUCUUGUCACGUCCAUGCAUAGAUCAAUAUUAUAUUUCAAAGGUGUGCAUAAACUGUCAUUACCCAGGUAGCCCAUAAUUUGUGUAGUCAGCAGUCUAUCAGUGAACACUUAAGCUGUUUUAAGUUCUCAUCUACAACUAACCAUGUUCCAGUUAAUAUCAUAUAUUCAUUAAAUCUUUUUCCUUAUAUGUCCCUAUACUGCAGUGCCAAUAUGUCCACAAUUUGAAUACACUCAUAAAAGUAAAUCACUACAGAAUGGCCAGAGCUAAGUCUAAAAUAUGUUCACUUUAAUUUUGGUAGGUAGUCAUAAGUUCUUCAUAAAAAUAGAAUCAAUGUAAACUAACACCAAUAGUAUAUAAGAGAUUUUUUUCUAUAUAUGAUAGGACUUUUUUUUUUUUUAGUUCAAAGAUUAUAAUAGGGCUGGGAAUGUUGCUAGUGGUAGAGGGUCUGCCUGACAUGCGUGAGGCCCUGGGUUUGAGUCCAAGCACCACACCAAGAAAAAAAAAAAAGAUUAAUAAUAGCUUUUUUGAGGGGGGGGGAGUUCUUUAAAGAAUAACCUUUCAAUCAUUAUCCAAGAGCCUGAAUCUUUUAAUCAUUAGGUUUUAGAUUUCCCAUAGUAACAGAAACUGACUCACUCUAUAGGAGAAUCUAGCAAGUGACUAAUUCAGUGUAUUUCAAAUGUUUCUCUCAUCUUUUUCUACUUUACAUCUAAUUGUGGUGGGGACUAACUCUUAAAUAAGCUAAUUUGGAUGGGAGCUGUUGGGAGAGUGCAAAGCACAAUUCAGAUGCACCUACAAGUUCUAUGGACCUCAGUUUCCCAUUGUAAAAUGGAGUUGCACUUGCUUAGCUCAAGACAACUCAACUCAGCAAACAAUUCCUACAUCUAUUAAAUGCCAG